AUUGAACGCUGGCGGCAGGCCUAACACAUGCAAGUCGAACGAGUGGCGGACGGGUGAGUAAUGUCUGGGACACUGCCCGAUGGAGGGGGAUAACUACUGGAAACGGUAGCUACUACCGCAUACCCUCGGAUGUGCCCAGAUGGGCUUAGCUAGUAGGUGGGGUAACGGCUCACCUAGGCGACGAUCCCUAGCUGGUCUGAGAGGAUGACCAGCCACACUGGAACUGAGACACGGUCCAGACUCCGACGGGAGGCAGCAGUGGGGAAGAUUGCACAAUGGGCGCAAGCCUGAUGCAGCCAUGCCGUGUGUAUGAAGAAGGCCUUCGGGUUGUAAAGGACUUUCAGCGAGGAGGCGUUACCCGCAGAAGAAGCACCGGCUAACUCCGUGCCAGCAGCCGCGGUAAUAG
rnacentral:rRNA from 1 species